rnacentral:rRNA from 1 species
GAUGAACGCUGGCGGCGUGCUUAACACAUGCAAGUCGAACGGAACUUACUAACUUGAAUUUCUUCGGAAAGGAUUGUUUAAGUUUAGUGGCGGACGGGUGAGUAACGCGUGGGUAACCUGCCUCAUACAGGGGGAUAACAGUUGGAAACGACUGUUAAUACCGCAUAAGCGCACGGUAUCGCAUGGUACAGUGUGAAAAACUCCGGUGGUAUGAGAUGGACCCGCGUCUGAUUAGCUGGUUGGUGAGGUAACGGCCCACCAAGGCGACGAUCAGUAGCCGGCCUGAGAGGGUGAACGGCCACAUUGGGACUGAGACGCGGCCCAAACUCCUACGGGAGGCAGCAGUGGGGAAUAUUGCACAAUGGGGGAAACCCUGAUGCAGCGACGCCGCGUGAGCGAAGAAGUAUUUCGGUAUGUAAAGCUCUAUCAGCAAGGAAGAAAUGACGGUACCUGACUAAGAAGCCCCGGCUAACUACGUG